GACUCCAGUGACAUCAGAGCUACUUUUCAUCGACCUUCUCAACUUCCUCUCCCACACAGCAGAGACUCAGCCGUGGAGACAGAUGCUUGACAUGGGCAUGGACCAGGACUUGCUGUCCCCAGAACCAAGGAAAAUAAAGAUGGAAGAAUACAAAUACCAAAGAGAAGUUUGAUUUUUAUGUUUCGUUGUUUCUUGUCAUAGUAACUGGUAUCAGAGUUCAUGUAACUUUGAGCACUCCAGGCUUCACAUAGGUUGCUACUUAGCUUAGCAGCUAGUGUGGGCCUGACAUAUAUGCAUGCAUACAUACAUACAUACAUACAUACAUACAUACAUACAAACAACACCUAGCUUCUUGGAGCUUUCUGUCAUAUGAUAUCAACUGUGUUUAUUGAUUUUACUA
rnacentral:lncRNA from 1 species